UACGUAGGGUGCAAGCGUUAAUCGGAAUUACUGGGCGUAAAGCGUGCGCAGGCGGUUCGUUGUGUCGGUGGUGAAAGCCCCGGGCUUAACUUGGGAAUGGCCAUGGAAACUGGCGAACUGGAGUGUGGCAGAGGGGGGUGGAAUUCCGCGUGUAGCAGUGAAAUGCGUAGAGAUGCGGAGGAACACCGAUGGCGAAGGCGGUUCUCUGGGCCUUACCUGACGCUGAGGAGCGAAAGCGUGGGGAGCGAACAGG
rnacentral:rRNA from 1 species